rnacentral:rRNA from 1 species
GACAGAGGUGGCAAGCGUUGUUCGGAAUCACUGGGCUUAAAGCGCGUGUAGGCGGUUCGUUAAGUGUCCUGUGAAAUCCCUCGGCUCAACCGAGGAACCGCCGGGCAUACUGACGGACUUGAGGCAGGUAUGGGCGAGUGGAACUCUUGGUGGAGCGGUGAAAUGCGUAGAUAUCAAGAGGAACGCCGGUGGUGAAGACGACUCGCUGGGCCUGUCCUGACGCUGAGACGCGAAAGCCAGGGGAG